GCGCACGCAGGCGGUUUGUUAAGUCAGAUGUGAAAUCCCCGCGCUUAACGUGGGAACUGCAUUUGAAACUGGCAAGCUAGAGUCUUGUAGAGGGGGGUAGGAAUUCCAGGUGUAGCGGUGAAAAUGCGUAGAGAUCUGGAGGAAUACCGGUGGCGAAGGCGGCCCCCUGGACAAAGACUGACGCUCAGGUGCGAAAGCGUGGGGAGCAAACAGGAUUAGAUACCCUGGUAG
rnacentral:rRNA from 1 species